AGACUUAGAUAACAAUGGAGAACAACAACUAGGCUUGGUAGCAGUACUACAAUUGUGUACUAGAUUAAAAGGAAAAUUUAAAUAUGUAACCCCAAGAAACUUUGUAUAAAAACCUCAGGGCUAUUGUGGCUGGGACAUCACAGAAAAGCAAGAAUGAAUUCAGCAUUUUAUAUAGAGAGAGGGCAAAAGUGAAGAAGAUGGCAGUUUGUUGGUGACUUUGUACCCAAAACUGUGGGUGAUGGUUUCAUCUCAGAGUUGCAUCCAUUUCCAACACUAUUUUGGGACCAAAGUCACCAACACACUGUCAUCAUUCUCAGCUUCAGAAGAUCUCAAGAUAAUGUACAAGAAGACAUGACCAGCUAGCCAUUUCACAAACAACUCAUGGAACAUUGAGAUUUAUGCUUAGUUUAAUUUGCUUCAUUCUUAAUCAUAUUUAAAUUUUAUAUAUGCUUCUACUUAAGGUACAUGUUUUGUAUUGUAAUCCAGGAUUGAGGUUUCUUCUGCUUUGCUCAAGUGCUUGAUUAGUUCAGCUGGAGCCUAUUGAAGACCACAACCACAAUAUCAAGAAAAUUUCAAUUGUAAUACAAAGAUAUUUAUGUUUGUUUGCCUUACUUUUUGGAACUCAAACAAUAUUAUAUUGGACUUGUUGGGCCAUGGUCCUCCCAAGAAUAUAGUUUAGAUGUACUGGUUUAUAGGUUUGGGUUUGUGGACUACCCAUUAUCUACCUGGGUCCAAUUUACGUGCCUCUAAAUUAUCAUACUUCGUAUCCUUCUAAUUAGACUUGAACAGAGCUUCAGGCUAUUCCACUCA